ACUUUAACUGCCAUGGUAAUUGAAUGCCAAUUGAAUGCGCUCUUCAUCACCACCGGUUCGUUUUCUCAUCAACAAUCAAUGAAAUCAUCAUGUUUACCGGUUAAUUGAUCAAUUGAAACUGAUUUUAAACUUGAAUUGAAGCAGCCCUUUCGUUUCCAGACCCACCCCCUUAUUACUCGGCAAUUGGACGCCUUUGUUGGUGGAGAAGGUUCGUUUUAGGUGAUAAUGUUGUUUUAGACGAGCGGUGGCUUGGUUUCCGGUGGCUACAAAUGAAAUUGGCAGUGAUGGUCAGACAUUAGCAUAGAUUCAGGCCAGUUCCGGUCACGCCAAUAAGUCCGGCGGAAUCCAUUCCGGUGACCUUGAAUUUAAGAACCCUAAAAUCCAAAAUCAUCCCUGACGCGAUUAAGGGCUGCAAAUACUUCAUCAUAAUCAGUGGGUUGAUGUUCCAUCGGUUCCUGGUGCAAUUGUGAUCAAUAUUGGUGAUCUUUUACAGGCAAGAUUCAUGUGAUUUUGAAGUGGUGGCAAAUGAGCAAGGGUCGGGGGGUGUGAGUGGCGUGCUUGUUCACCACCUUGCUAGCGGCGUCCUCAAAGCUGUACUAGCCUAUCAAGGAGUUGGUUUCUGAUGGGAAGCCACCAAGGGGUAUAAUGAUCUGAACAAUCAGGACUUAGUGUUACUUUUAAGCAGGUUAAUGGGUCUGGUGGCUACGAAGCAGGCUUUGCGGGUGUUGCAGGAUCAUUAUCCUGAGUUUGUAGCAAAGCAGGCCUUAGUUGCAGGCACAAGAAGAUAUUCCUGCAGUCUUCAGGCUUUUGAGUGUCAAGACAAACUUAAAAAUGGAUGAUCAGACCAAAAUGUCCUUUUGAGAUCCAUAAGAUACUUUGUUAAUAAGUGUUUGGUUUGACUUUUGCUCUAGAUAGAUAGAUUUGUUAUUCUAUGAUAUCUCUUUCUAUUUUUAUUUAGAAAAAUUAACCAAAGUUACCAUGUUUUAACAUAGCUUUGCUAUCACCUAAUGUCAUUCGAAUUGUCAGCUUGGUCUGCUGAACACAAGAUAAAUUGUCAUAGCUUGGUCUGAUGAACAUAAGAUAAAUUGUCAUUUGUAUUGUCAGCUAGGUACCUUGGAUUAGGCCAUGUGUAGUGGUCACCCCCAUUCACCCCCAUCUUUAAGAACAGGCCCCGGGCUUUUUUAUAAACCAACAAUUUUAGACGAAAGCUUAUAAACUAACGACCCCAAAAUCUAUAUACAACGUAGCAUGCUACUAUUUAACUAAAAACUUAACUCGCCGCGAAGCGCGGACCGUUAUAUAUAUGUAACUUAUAUAUGAUUUUUAUAUCGUUUUAAGGUUUGAAUUAUGUUCACGCCUCGUGUUGUCGACUCCGCCGCAACGCGCGGGUUCCCCACUAGUACUAUAAAAAGGAGAAGUGAUGUACAAUAUUGUAAUUUUACCAUGUUUACAAGUUAUAAAGCACUAUGUACAAGGAUGUGUAAGCCAUUUUAGAGGGGUUUCACCCAAAAUUUUAAGACACCAUAGGGUUAAUAAGGGGAUUUCAGCCUACAUAUUAAAUGCUUCCGGUUUCUAAUGAUUCAUGUUCUGGUUCCUCAACGGCCAUUAUGAAAGAAAACCAUAAGACAGAAAUCCUACCUUCAUCGGCUGUGAAACCAUCCAUCAUCUAUCCGACCACUUUUUUUGAUUCCGAUGGCUCUGCAUAUCGCCAAACGCCUCCUCCGCACCCGCGCCACAACCCCUGCUGUCGCGCUUUGAUCGGAGCUUUUCCUCCACCUGUUCCGAUCUGAUUCGCGCCACUCUCUUUCCCUGCGACGGCAUCGGUCCAAAGAUCUUUGAAUCCGUCAAACAGGUUCGACUUGUUUUUUGCGAUUUGAUUUUUUUGGUCUCCGUCUCUUCUACUUUCUCUGGUGUGUGCCUGGUUUAAGGGGUUUGUUCCUCUCUAUUUGCUGAAGAUUUCUGAUCGAUUCUGUCUAUUGUAGCAAGGAUGCUGGUUACUUAUUUUCAUCUUUUUAGAUUUCAACAAGUUCUAGGUCUUGAAACUGAAAUCAGAAUGUUGAAAUCGCUAGAUCUUCAGUCACUGGCUAGGCUUCGAUGGGUGAGGUUGUGAUGUAUGUUUCUUGCUAAUUAACGUUACAUAUAGUUGGUUUGGUAUUUGUUUGGUUUGAUUUGAAUUGAUAGAUAUGUGCUUGUUUUCUCAGUCACUCAGAUUAAAAUGCAGAUUGGAGCAUGGCACCUGACCAGAGUGUCGUUUAGUGUUGCUAGGACUAGUGAAAAUGCGAUACCAUCACCAGCAGAUUUACGUACAUCUGCCAAUUUUUUGGCUAGAUCACAAUAGUCAUUUUGUUUUAACAAUUGACUAACACCAGCCAGGCUCUCCGAAGUCGGAAAGCUUACAUCCGAACGUGUCUGCGGCUGUAAAUGGUGUCGCUCUUCUUGGAACCCUAUCCGACCAAUUGUUCGUCGGGUGGCUCGGUGAUAAACUGGGUAAGCAGAAGGUUUACGACAUCCGACCAAUCAUCUUUUACUUUCAUUCUUGAUGAUCCUGCUGGCAACAUCUUUUACUCUUUCCUGUCACACCGUUGCAUUUGAUAAGACUAGGACAUUGAGGACAGGGGAGUUUAUGUGCAAAGCAAUUGAGCCCAUACACGGACAUGAAGCUACCGCUUUUUGUUGCGUUACGACUUGUGAGAAAGAAGCUCUUGCUGUUGCUGCUGCUAUGGAAAAAGGCACCACCCACCCGAUCGGAAGUCAAUGUCUAUUUGAUCUUUAUCAGGGUAAGUGUGUGAUCUUCAGUCUUCUAAUGGUAUACACCCUUCCCUUACCAGAGUAGGGGCGCAAAUACGGUGAGCUACUCAAACUCGGCUCGAAAACAAGCUUGAAACGAGCCGAGCUUAAACGAGCUCGAGUGCAAACCUAAAAACAAGCUCGUUAUGUGUUCACACAGGACCAGCAAGUUAUGGAGCUCUAUUUGUGUUGCGAUUUCUUUAUAGAAAAUAUGAUUUCAAGUCAGAUGAGGAGAGCCAAAUUGCGUACUUAACCUGAGCGAGCCAAUGAGUGAGUUGCCAUAAUUCUCAAAAUUGUGCUACAGAUGCAGUGAGAGAAGCCUUUUUUAUGCAAGAUUCGUUCGAAGAUGACAAGUCAAAGAUUCUUAUGAUAUUAUGUGCAAGCCCGGAUCCAAAGGAAAUGCAUAAGACAAUAUCAACAUUGGAAUACGGUGCAAAAGCCAAAUGCAUCGUGCGUGGGCCUCAUACGCCAAUUAAGGGAGACGAUUCGUCUUCGUCAGAUGUGAUGUUGGGUUCGAGAAUCGCGACUACUUAGUUCAGCUGAUUGGUCAAGGCUUAAUGUCCUUUUUGAUAAAAGUUUUCAUCAUUUGCUUUAGACGAAGGAAGAGAGGGUUCAAAAUUUGUAUCUUACCAAGUUUUAUCUGAGUUUCAUGGUAGAGAUAGAAUGGACGUAUAUCAUUGAAGUAUAUUAUUUGAGAACGGGAUUGGAUCGAAGUAUAUGGACAUGUACAAAUUUAUGCUCCCUAAUAUCAUUUAUGACAAUAACGUUGUAAAUAAACCUACUUUCGAUGUUUUGAUGAAAAUUUGUUACGGUUUAAUAAAUCUAACUCUUUAUAUUGAGCUUG